UACAGAGGAGCCAAGCGUUGCCCGGAUUGACUGGGCGUAAAGCGCACGCAGGCGGCCGCGCGCGUGGGGUGUGAAAUCUGGCCGCUUAACGGCCAGGCGCCAUCCCAUACGGCGCGGCUGGAGCCAUGCAGAGGGCGGUGGAAUUGCCGGUGUAGUGGUGAAAUGCGUAGAGAUCGGCAGGAACACCCAGGGGGAAACCAGCCGCCUGGGCAUGCGCUGACGCUGAGGUGCGAGAGCGUGGGGAGCGAACCGG
rnacentral:rRNA from 1 species